AUAUGUACCCUUAUCAACUGGCACUUUACAGGCUACCAAACCAAGGAACUAUAGGAGACCUACAAAUUGGCUAUGCAAGUUCUCUCCGACAUUAUUGUCUUAGUUACACUUUUUCUUUGUUUAGACCUUGUAGUCCUAUUAAAGCUAGUCAAUGAUUAAAAUUAUUAGCUUUUUCUGUUUCUUUCUGCACACAUACGCUUUCUUUUCCAUCAUCAAAAGAUCACUAAAAGUUUCUCUAGAAAAUAUGAAC
rnacentral:lncRNA from 1 species